rnacentral:lncRNA from 10 species
CAAGGACGCACAUCUCCUAAGUGGCAGAUUCAGGGACAGAGCCCUUAUCUUCUGCUUCCCAGUUCAGGGAAUUUUCCACUACUCCAUGCCAGAUGAUACACCCUGCAGAGGUCAGGAGAGAGCCGAUGGCGGUCUUAAUGAAGAGGAAGGAGGAAAGGACGCAGCUUUUUUUACCCCCCGGCUUAAUUUACUCCGUAUUCGGCUUAACUUACUCCCUAUUCUACCCUCCGGUCUUCAAGUUCCCUUAAGCUCGUUGGCCUGUUACCCAGUAAAACUACAAGGAAAUGGUCUGUGUGGUGAAUUUUGAAGCUGUCCACAGUACAGAUACUCCAGUGUCUGCCCUUCCAGAAAAGAGCUGGACCUAAGGGGUCCUCCUGUCUCACGUGCAGACUCCCAGGGCGGGAUUAAAAAUGCAAAAAUCCCAUGUUUCCUUGCAAAUCCAUGUGAAUCUGUGGCUGAUAUUAUUAUGCCACUCUAUGUGAUGUAAUGAAGCAUAAUUUAUUUUGGUUCUAUAAUGUAUUUAUUUAUCAAGGCAUUUGUAUUCUAUUUUAUUGUUGAUCAAUUUCCUGUAAUUUAAAAUUCUAAUGACCACCUCUCCAAUAAACCAAAGGCC